CCUCUCCUUUCUCCCCCCUCCCCCCAUCCCCCCUUUUUUCCAAAGCGCACAAUUAGUUCCCUCACUUCAACUCACAAAUUAGGGCUUAAUUUCUGCAGGGCACAAUUCGCUCUGGUCGUCGCCAUCUCUACAAAAAAGAUUCGCCGCAAUCCGAACAAUAAAGGUGAUGCACAUCCAUCGCAAGAUAAAUCCUCCACGAGUGCAAAGGUCUGGUGGGCUCUAUGAUAGCAUUGAGGAGAAGCUACAACCAUUGAAGAAUAUUUGCAGCAUUCUCAAUUGCUCUGAAAUUGAAAUGUAUCCUUGAAUGCAUUGAUUCACUUCGUUAUACGUGUGCUUGUUCAUAGUGUUGCAGGUUAAUAUAGAAAACAUGGAUAAAUGGGAUAAGUUACUACUGAAUAUGAGGUUGGGGUUAUCUUGUGCAAUGUGAUCUUCGUUGAUGUGGUAUUAAUGUCACUUCUACCUUAAUUCAGAUGCACUCGUAAUAAAGUUUUCUCUGAACAUUUUAGCUCUAUGUUUAUAUGCUGCAGCCUUUAAUUCAGAAAUAGACUUAUUAUUAUGUUAGGUCUUGGCUAUAGACUAUGGCUUAGUACUAUAACGGUUAUUUGUCGCAUUGCAUUUCUUUCAUAUUGGGGAACCUUGGUUCAGUAUAUACAAAAGCCUCCCAAAUGUCGUAAGAAAUAUAAUAUCAUUUGCUAGAUAUUUUUGCAUAGAGACGUGGUAUUUGAUGAGUUAAAAGAUAAACUUUCUGUCAUAUUGUAUUAGUGUUGUCAAUGUUAGUAGGACUCUGAAGUAUCUGGCCACAAUAAGUCUUUACUUAUAUUUUGUUGAAGCUUACUUUAGUUAGCAUUUCUUUUGCAAAUAAGUUUAAUUCUUCCUAAUUGAUCAUAAGUUGCCAACAAGAUGGACAUUCUAGCCAUAGCCUACUGUAUGACUUAUAUUUCCCAUGUAAUGAGAAUAAUUUUGAUAUAAUCUGCAUUUCUGAAUGGGAGGGUAUUUUGCUCAUUAGUACUUUCUUCACAUAUAUAUAAAAACUAGUAAAGUUGAUUUAAUCUGAUCCUGAACAUCUUGCUUAACCUCCUGCUUAACUCUUAACAUAGUUAGUUACUCCUCAAAGCAUACCAUUUGACUAGUCAUACACCAAAGCUGACUGCUUUUUGAAGUCUAUAUAAGCACUAGAAAAAUGAUUCAAUAUGCCCCCCUAACUAACACAAGGGGAAUCUGGUUUAUGAUGUUUUUGUUAAGUGUCAUUUGCAUAGAAGGCUUGGUAUAUCAUUUAGCUUAUGAUCUGCUAUUGAGUUGCUCUGUUAAGCUUUUAGUAUUUGAUCACUUUUAUUAAGUGUGAGAAUUAAUCAUCUCUAGGCUUGAGGUUUCUAUUGUGUUUGCUUACCUAGUUGAAGUUUAUGAAUUAGGUGUUGAAUUAUUCAACUCUAACUCUUCGUGUGUUUUUUCCACUUCUCUUUUGCGGAUUACAAGGUAUUGGGACAUCCGCCACCGAGGACCUUGAGGAGAUGCGGUGAACAAUUCAACAACUUUCUAGGAAUUGUGCCGAUGAACGAGAAAAAAGAAAGCAUGAAGAGAAGAUUAGAGACGCACUUAGGAAUGACAUUGAGUCCCUCAAGGCUCAAGUGAAUCACUUAAUCGGCUUGCCCCGCUUUCCGCCAAAAAGAAGCCGACUCUCUCCGUCAAAAAGCCACAUUUAUGAAGAGGAUGAAAGUGAUGGAAAUAAUACAAAUGAUGAAGAAAAUGAGGGGGAACCCGAAGAUGAGUGAUUUUAUGUUUGGUUGGAUUGUUGUUUAGUUGGAUGUUAACUUUGAAUGUUACGUUUUGAUGUUUGGUUGGAUAGUUUUGAUGAUUGAUGGGAUAAUUUGGAUGUUUGAUGGGAUAAUUUGGAUGUUUAGAUAUAGUUUAUAAAGUUUUUUUGUUGUUAAGUUGAGUUUUA